ensembl:lncRNA
AUGACAAAGCACAUCAGAGUUUAUGAUAACACCAAUCAAUAUCUGACAAUACACAACCGUGACAUGGAAAUUCUGAAAGAUGCUUUUAGAAAUAUUGCAUCCUUGGACAAUUGGACUGUGUCUAGUCUACAGCAAUGGCAGAGAGACGAUGGAAGGAACUGUGGUGUUUUCGUAUGCACAAUGGCAGAGAUGGAAGCUAAAAGUAUUAAAAUGUGCCACGAAAUUCUGCACACUGAACAGAUGGGAUACCUUCAUCUUUACCAUGCCUCAUGCAUGGUGAAACUUCUACAACCAGAGAGUAAUGCACCCACGAAUCCAGUCACUGGACUGGAUUCAAUGUGA